GGAUUAGAUACCCUGGUAGUCCACGCUGUAAACGAUGAGAACUGGAUGUGCGAAAGGGAUUAACCUUUUGCGUAUCGAAGCUAACGCGUUAAGUUCUCCGCCUGGGGAGUACGGCCGCAAGGUUAAAACUCAAAGGAAUUGACGGGGGCCCGCACAAGCGGUGGAGCAUGUGGUUUAAUUCGAUGCAACGCGAAGAACCUUACCUACCCUUGACAUCCUGAGAAUCCUGGUGAGAGCCGGGAGUGCCGAAAGGAAUUCAGAGACAGGUGCUGCAUGGCUGUCGUCAGCUCGUGCCG
rnacentral:rRNA from 1 species